GCCAGUGUGGUGUAGUGGUUUGAGUGUUGGACUGAGACUCUGGACACCAGGGUUUGAGUCCCAGCUUGGACA